rnacentral:misc_RNA from 1 species
UCUCCGUAGGUGAACCUGCGGAGGGAUCAUUACAGAGUUCAUGCCCUACCGGGUAGAUCUCCCACCCUAUGUUAUUAUUACUUUGUUGCUUUGGCGGGCCGUUAGGCUCCGGCCCGACUACCGGCCCCGGCUGGUAAGCGCCCGCCAGAGGACCCAAAACCCUGAAUAUUAGUGUCGUCUGAGUACUGUAUAAUAGUUAAAACUUUCAACAACGGAUCUCUUGGUUCUG